rnacentral:rRNA from 1 species
GACAGAGGGGGCAAGCGUUGCUCGGAAUUACUGGGCGUAACGGGCGCGUAGGCGGGAUGGCAAGUCGGUCGUGAAAUCCCUCGGCUCAACCGAGGAACGUCGAUCGAUACUGCUGUUCUUGAGGAUUGCAGAGGAGACUGGAAUUCCCGGUGUAGCGGUGAAAUGUGUAGAGAUCGGGAGGAACACCGGUGGCGAAGGCGGGUCUCUGGGCAAUUCCUGACGCUGAGGCGCGAAAGCGUGGGGAGCAAACGGG